GAGUUUGAUCCUGGCUCAGAACGAACGCUGGCGGCAGGGCCUAACACAUGCAAGUCGAGCGAGACCUUCGGGUCUAGCGGCGGACGGGUUAGUAACACGUGGGAACGUACCUCUUACUACGGAAUAGCCUCGGGAAACUGGGAGUAAUACCGUAUGUGCCCUUCGGGGGAAAGAUUUAUCGGUAAGAGAUCGGCCCGCGUCUGAUUAGAUAGUUGGUCGGGGGUAAUGGCCUACCAAGUCUACGAUCAGUAGCUGGUUUGAGAGGAUGAUCAGCAACACUGGGACUGAGACACGGCCCAGACUCCUACGGGAGGCAGCAGUGGGGAAUCUUAGACAAUGGGCGCAAGCCUGAUCUAGCCAUGCCGCGUGAGUGAUGAAGGCCUUAGGGUCGUAAAGCUCUUUCGCUGGGGAAGAUAAUGACUGUACCCAGUAAAGAAAACCCCGGCUAACUCCGUG
rnacentral:rRNA from 1 species